GCUGGGGUUGGGAGCUAAAACUGCUCUUGAAGGAAACAAGCAAAGGAGAUGAAGAAAGUGGGUCAGAAAUGAAACGGCGUGAAACUGAACUUCCUUGCCAGGUAGAGAUGGAGAGAUUACAUGUCAGCUUGGUUGCUGAGACCGCAGAAGACCAAAAUCACUGGAAUUGAGCCACAGAGACCAGUUGUCAAUGCUGAGAUUUGCGUGCCGUCAGAACCUCAAAUCUCUUUGCAAGGGGCAUAUUUUGUACUUCAUGAAAAAAUGCCUGAACUCUAUGACUUGAGAGAGAAUAGAAAAGAAAAUUUUCAAAAGGGCUUCACAGAGCAAGCCUAAAUCUUCCUUCAUGUGACAGCCUUCCAAUAUUAGGAAACAAUUCUUGUGUUUCCUUGAGUCUCCUCUAGCUGCAGCAACCACAGGCAGGUCCAUCCACCACUCUUCUUUUGACAUGGUUUUACCUUCAUCUCCUCCUCAUCCUUAACUCUACUCAGUGGUCCCAUGUUCAUCUGCUUUUGGAGCUUGGUGCAGACCUGUAUUCACUCCUCCAGGUAUGGUCUGAUGAAUGCAUCAGGUGCAGUUGGCCUAUCGCCUUCUUCAUCCUUUAGGGUCUAUUUCUGGCAAAAGAGUCAUACAUUAUUUCAACAGCCUCCAAGACCCCAGUCAACAGAAUGAAUGAGGCCAGAGGGAAAUUGCCUUGUGUUGACUGUCAUCUGUGGAAACGGACAAUAUGAACGAGAGUAGAGGAGAAACUUGGAGAAGCAAUACCUGGGGAGGAAGACUAUCAGAAGACUCUUGAGAUGGGAGUGGGGCUGUCAUUGACUGUAGAUGCAUCAGUUCAUGUGUAAAAUAUUACCCUACAUCUAGAUGCCAGUGGCCCAGCUUUUUCCUGGAAAUUCCUCAGGUGGGAAGGCCACCUUGAGGCCAUCUGAUGUACUUACCUCUGUGUUCUGCUCAGCAGUUAUUGUUUUUGAUACUGGGCUCCCUUAGUCCUUGUGAUCCUGUGACAUAAUGGAAUCAAAUUAAAGUCCCAUUUACCA